rnacentral:rRNA from 1 species
CAUCGAGACUCCUACGGGAGGCAGCAGUGGGGAAUAUUGCGCAAUGGGGGAAACCCUGAUGCAGCCAUGCCGCGUGUGUGAAGAAGGCCUUCGGGUUGUAAAGCACUUUCAGUAGGGAGGAAGGUAGUGUAGUUAACACCUGCAUUAUUUGACGUUACCUACAGAAGAAGCACCGGCUAACUCCGUGCCAGCAGCCGCGGUAAUACGGAGGGUGCGAGCGUUAAUCGGAAUUACUGGGCGUAAAGCGCAUGCAGGCGGCCUGUUAAGUCAGAUGUGAAAGCCUGGGGCUUAACCUCGGAAUUGCAUUUGAAACUGGCAGGCUAGAGUCUUGUAGAGGGGGUAGAAUUUCAGGUGUAGCGGUGAAAUGCGUAGAGAUCUGAAGGAAUACCAGUGGCGAAGGCGGCCCCCUGGACAAAGACUGACGCUCAGAUGCGAAAGCGUGGGGAGCAAACAGGAUUAGAUACCCUGGUAG